AUCUUAUCAAGAGUGGCUGAGGGAACGGCCCGUUGAAGCCACAGCAACCGGUCCUGAAAAAAACAGGAUGCUGGUGCUAAGUCCGGUCCCGAAGAAAGUUCGGGAGAAGAUAAGAA
rfam:Candidatus Schekmanbacteria bacterium RBG_16_38_10 RBG_16_scaffold_36940, whole genome shotgun sequence.